UGUUUUGGGACUGAGUGGAUGCUGUCUGAGUCUUUUUUUAGUUAUGGUGUCGUGUCAGUAAAAAUAUAUUACAUCCGUAUUAUGCUGUGAGCGUGGCCAGGCAGUUUAGAUGACGUCACUUAAUUUAUUCAUGUGUGUGCCGCAAUGCCAGAUGGGGCGGCAAAUUCAAAUGUGCUCUUCUACUCUAUGUGACUGUGUACAUUGCUGCCUGGCCGGCCGCCCUGUUGCUGCUGCACCUGAAGCUGGCACACAGUAGCAGCAGCACAGGACAUCUGACGGGAAGACAGAGCGGGCAGCUAGUCGCCCCUGUUCCCAUCACGACUGCCUCUCAGUGGUGACAACCUCGGCAGAGUGAUCCCGGGCCGGGCUCCCAGCAGCGCUGUGCACUAGUGAUUCAUGCGCUCGCUGGGUCCGGUGCAAAGACUGCAGUUCGCCUGCGGGUAGCCUGAUCUGUGUAACCCGCUGGAUCUGCAGUGACUGGCUUCCACUACCUGCGGGGGCAUGAGAAUCGGAGGUUACCAGCAGCUACUGGGGAUCCUCUGUGACCCUAUCUCCCGCUCUAUGCUCCUCCUCUACCUGACACCAAUGUGCUCCAAGAGUCGGGAGGGCACCGGCCACCUGUACUGCCCCCUGCUGAUGACAGUAUUUUGGGUGUGGGUGGGUUACUAUGGUGCGAGUGCCGGGCAGGAGGCACAGGACACAUGCCCACUGUCAGCGCCCGUCAUAUGCUCCAGAGUCCUGGCCCUAGGGCAUGGGGAAAUCCUAGGGCCAUCUGGGCAGGCAGAGCAGCACGGCAUACUACUGUCAGUGUCAGCACAGCUGAAAGUGAAACUACAGAGGAGUCCGAUCAGGGGGCGUGGCUACACGGGUCACUGCUGCCUUCCUGCAAUGUGGGAAACUGAGGGGAGGAAUGGCUCUGAGCUGCAAUACUGAACAUUGUGAUAUGCUGCCAUGUAAUUGUGAUGUGUUAAGCAGCUGCCCGGGAUCUGCCACCACGAGGAGCCUGACUGCCAGCGAGGAGAGAUGGGCCGGCCUGACCGUUACAUCGCGGAGAGUACCAUAUGUGGAGGGUGCUGCUGCUGCCUUCUCAUGUCCUCCCGAGGUGUGCUCGCACACCUGCUGCACUGCUCAAAGAGAGAGCCUGGAUCACAGGGUGAGAGAUCCUCUUAUUAUUUAUUAUGGACAUUAUACCUUCCAAAGAAAUGGGACUCUAACAAAAUGUCUGUCCCUGUUAUAUACUGUACUAGAAGGCUCCACCAAAAUGGCCUCUGUAUUAUUAAUGACUAUUCACUUCAGGAUUUUUAAAGAUGGCUGCCACGUGCUCCAUGGACCGGAAGUAAUGUUAAGUCAUCGUGUUAUACUGUAGAUCUUCAAAGUUACAUUUGUACAAUAGAAAACCUGAUGUGGCUCCAUACUAUCAUAAGACAACUCUGUCACCUACCAUUUUGAGGAAAUUUACCCACAAUUCCGUGGUGGCGGAAGUGACACAAUGCAUUCCAGAUAUGUUCCACCACCGUAAUUACACGCUGAUACCCAAUGUAAACUCCUGUUAAUCAUUUUCCCUCACUUUUAAUCAUUACAGUUUGGUUAUGUUUAAAUCUAUAUUUAUUUUUCAGUGUAUAAACAACACUGAAAUCAUUGUAAUUAGGCUCUGUUUAACAUUAACUGGACAGGAAGGGAUGUCACUCCCCAAGGUCACAUGUGACCCUCACUCUUGUCCAACUAUCUAAUAUAUAAAAAUGAAAAUGUGUC